UACGGGGGGAGCAAGCGUUGUCCGGAUUUACUGGGCGUAAAGGGCGCGUAGGCGGUCGUGACAAGUCACUUGUGAAAUCUCCGGGCUUAACUCGGAGCGGCCAAGUGAUACUGUCGUGCUAGAGUGCGGAAGGGGCUACUGGAAUUCUCGGUGUAGCGGUGAAAUGCGUAGAUAUCGAGAGGAACACCUGCGGCGAAGGCGGGUAGCUGGGCCGACACUGACGCUGAGGCGCGAAAGCUAGGGGAGCGAACGGG
rnacentral:rRNA from 1 species